rnacentral:rRNA from 1 species
GACGUAGGGCGCGAGCGUUGUCCGGAUUUAUUGGGCGUAAAGAGCUCGUAGGCGGCUUGUCGCGUCGACUGUGAAAACCCGGCGGCUCAACUGCGGGCCUGCAGCCGAUACGGGCAGGCUAGAGUUCGGUGAGGGAGACUGGAAUUCCUGGUGUAGCGGUGAAAUGCGCAGAUAGUCAGGAGGAACACCGGUGGCGAAGG